GGGGAUUUAGCUCAGUGGUAGAGCGCUUGCCUAGCAAGCACAAGGCCCUGGGUUCGGUGUCCCCAGCUCCG
rfam:Rattus norvegicus chromosome 7, whole genome shotgun sequence.